rnacentral:rRNA from 1 species
GUUGGGUAGGGGAGCGUUCUGUAAGCCUGCGAAGGUGGCCUGUGAGGGUUGCUGGAGGUAUCAGAAGUGCGAAUGCUGACAUAAGUAACGAUAAAGCGGGUGAAAAGCCCGCUCGCCGGAAGACCAAGGGUUCCUGUCCAACGUUAAUCGGGGCAGGGUGAGUCGACCCCUAAGGCGAGGCCGAAAGGCGUAGUCGAUGGGAAACGGGUUAAUAUUCCCGUACUUGGUGUUACUGCGAAGGGGGGACGGAGAAGGCUAUGUUGGCCGGGCGACGGUUGUCCCGGUUUAAGCGUGUAGGUGUGUGUUCCAGGUAAAUCCGGUUCACUUUAACACUGAGGCGUGAUGACGAGGCACUACGGUGCUGAAGCAACAAAUGCCCUGCUUCCAGGAAAAGCCUCUAAGCAUCAGGUAACAUCAAAUCGUACCCCAAACCGACACAGGUGGUCAGGUAGAGAAUACCAAGGCGCUUGAGAGAACUCGGGUGAAGGAACUAGGCAAAAUGGUGCCGUAACUUCGGGAGAAGGCACGCUGACACGUAGGUGAAGUGAUUUACUCAUGGAGCUGAAGUCAGUCGAAGAUACCAGCUGGCUGCAACUGUUUAUUAAAAACACAGCACUGUGCAAACACGAAAGUGGACGUAUACGGUGUGACGCCUGCCCGGUGCCGGAAGGUUAAUUGAUGGGGUCAGCGCAAGCGAAGCUCCUGAUCGAAGCCCCGGUAAACGGCGGCCGUAACUAUAACGGUCCUAAGGUAGCGAAAUUCCUUGUCGGGUAAGUUCCGACCUGCACGAAUGGCGUAAUGAUGGCCAGGCUGUCUCCACCCGAGACUCAGUGAAAUUGAACUCGCUGUGAAGAUGCAGUGUACCCGCGGCAAGACGGAAAGACCCCGUGAACCUUUACUAUAGCUUGACACUGAACAUUGAGCCUUGAUGUGUAGGAUAGGUGGGAGGCUUUGAAGCGUGGACGCCAGUCUGCGUGGAGCCGACCUUGAAAUACCACCCUUUAAUGUUUGAUGUUCUAACGUGGACCCGUGAUCCGGGUUGCGGACAGUGUCUGGUGGGUAGUUUGACUGGGGCGGUCUCCUCCUAAAGAGUAACGGAGGAGCACGAAGGUUGGCUAAUCCUGGUCGGACAUCAGGAGGUUAGUGCAAUGGCAUAAGCCAGCUUGACUGCGAGCGUGACGGCGCGAGCAGGUGCGAAAGCAGGUCAUAGUGAUCCGGUGGUUCUGAAUGGAAGGGCCAUCGCUCAACGGAUAAAAGGUACUCCGGGGAUAACAGGCUGAUACCGCCCAAGAGUUCAUAUCGACGGCGGUGUUUGGCACCUCGAUGUCGGCUCAUCACAUCCUGGGGCUGAAGUAGGUCCCAAGGGUAUGGCUGUUCGCCAUUUAAAGUGGUACGCGAGCUGGGUUUAGAACGUCGUGAGACAGUUCGGUCCCUAUCUGCCGUGGGCGCUGGAGAACUGAGGGGGGCUGCUCCUAGUACGAGAGGACCGGAGUGGACGCAUCACUGGUGUUCGGGUUGUCAUGCCAAUGGCACUGCCCGGUAGCUAAAUGCGGAAGAGAUAAGUGCUGAAAGCAUCUAAGCACGAAACUUGCCCCGAGAUGAGUUCUCCCUGAGACUUAGAGUCUCCUGAAGGAACGUUGAAGACGACGACGUUGAUAGGCCGGGUGUGUAAGCGCAGCGAUGCGUUGAGCUAACCGGUACUAAUGAAC